rnacentral:misc_RNA from 1 species
AAUACAUUGGGCAUCUCCUUUACCUGAAGCAAAGUAAGAGCAUAAUAGAUUUUACCAAAAUCUAAAACUAAAGUAAGCAUCAUUGUAGGCAUUACUAAAUUAAAGACAAUGAUUGGUGCUGAUAGCACCUAAAAAGUUUACCAUGAACCAUUUGACUUUUAGACAAGACUAGCAAGAAAACUAGUUCCCCUCUAGAACUCAUAACAAAUUAAAUUUUGUUCUA